rnacentral:rRNA from 1 species
UACGUAGGGGGCUAGCGUUGUCCGGAAUCAUUGGGCGUAAAGAGCGUGUAGGCGGCCCGGUAAGUCCGCUGUGAAAGUCGGGGGCUCAACCCUCGAAUGCCGGUGGAUACUGUCGGGCUAGAGUGCGGAAGAGGCGAGUGGAAUUCCUGGUGUAGCGGUGAAAUGCGCAGAUAUCAGGAGGAACACCGAUUGCGAAGGCAGCUCGCUGGGACGUAACUGACGCUGAGGCACGAAAGCGUGGGGAGCAAACAGG